UGUGCGGGCAUGCAUGUCUAUGCUUGUGCAUCUUGUGUGUACAUGUAUGUUCAUACUUGUACAUGUUGUCUCUGUGUGUGCAUGCAUGUCCAUGCUCGUGCGUACUGUCUGUAUACGUGUGUGCAUGCAUGUCCAUGCUCGUGCAUACUGUCUGUAUAUGUGUGUGUGCAUGCAUGUCCAUGCUCGUGCAUACCGUCUGUAUGUGUGUGUGCAUGCAUGUCCAUGCUUGUGCGUACUGUCUGUAUACGUGUGUGUGCAUGCAUGUCCAUGCUUGUGCGUACUGUCUGUAUACGUGUGUGUGCAUGCAUGUCCAUGCUUGUGCGUACUGUCUGUAUACGUGUGUGUGCAUGCAUGUCCAUGCUUGUGCGUACUGUCUGUGUGUGUGUGUGCAUGCAUGUCCAUGCUUGCGCGCAUUGUCUGUGUGUGUGUGCGUGCCUGUCCAUGUUUGUGUGUGUUGUGUGUGUGUGUGCAUGCACUCCGGGGUGUAGCCUGAUGAACAGCUGUGACUGUAGCUUCGUGAGACGGUGGUGUAAGUCUUCACCUCUGUGGAGGUUGGUCCUGCACUUCCGAGAACACUGUGCUGCUCUGACACAGCCCAGGACCGUGGUGCCGAGACCCGUGCGGCCCCGAGAACAGCGGCCCGGAUGCUUAGGCAAGUGUUUUGAGUCGACAGCGCUGGUUUCUCGGGGGAGAACUGGCCUGUUUCCUGUAGGAAGAGGCCUAUUUGAGGAGGAGUGUGGGCUUUCCUGCCUGCAGUCUCAGCUGAGCGCUGUGACCCCGUGGGGACGGGCCUGUAAUCUGCCAGGGCCCCUCACUUGCCGUGACAGCUGGCUGUGCUCUCCAAGGCACACUUCAUUUGCUCUGCCACAAGUCAUCACAGAGAGAAAAGCUGGUCCCUGCGGAGCCCCUGGUGCUGGCUGCAGCCACAUUGGAAAGGGGCCCCGGGUGAGACAGGCUUGGCCCAGAACCAAUCCAGCACCGGGGCCUGGAGCACAGGCUCCUCCUACCCUGUCCCACAGACGCUGUCACUGCUAUCUGACCCGUGGGGUGUGUCCCGUUUCCAAGUGGCCGAGGGGCAGUCCUUAACUCGGUCACCUGCCUGAAGAGUGGUGACGCUG
rnacentral:lncRNA from 1 species